AUUGAACGCUGGCGGCACGCCUUACACAUGCAAGUCGAACGGCAGCAUGGAGAGCUUGCUCUCUGAUGGCGAGUGGCGAACGGGUGAGUAAUGCAUCGGAACGUACCGUGUAAUGGGGGAUAACGUAGCGAAAGUUACGCUAAUACCGCAUACGACCUGAGGGUGAAAGCAGGGGAUCGCAAGACCUUGCGUUAUACGAGCGGCCGAUGUCAGAUUAGCUAGUUGGUGAGGUAAAGGCUCACCAAGGCGACGAUCUGUAGCGGGUCUGAGAGGAUGAGCCGCCACACUGGGACUGAGACACGGCCCAGACUCCUACGGGAGGCAGCAGUGGGGAAUUUUGGACAAUGGGGGCAACCCUGAUCCAGCCAUGCCGCGUGAGUGAAGAAGGCCUUCGGGUUGUAAAGCUCUUUCGGCCGGGAAGAAAUCGCACAGGCUAAUACUCUGUGUGGAUGACGGUACCGGCAUAAGAAGCACCGGCUAACUACGUGCCAGCAGCCGCCGUAA
rnacentral:rRNA from 1 species